rnacentral:lncRNA from 1 species
GGCUGAUGCUGCUGGUUGGGUGGAUGUGGAUAAAGAAACUCUGCAACACAGGAGGUACCCAAAUGUGUUUGGGAUUGGGGACUGCACCAACCUUCCUACGUCAAAGACCGCUGCUGCAGUAGCUGCCCAGUCAGGAAUACUUGAUAGGACAAUUUCUGUAAUUAUGAAGAAUCAAACACCAACAAAGAAGUAUGAUGGCUACACAUCAUGUCCACUGGUGACCGGCUACAACCGUGUGAUUCUUGCUGAGUUUGACUACAAAGCAGAGCCGCUAGAAACCUUCCCCUUUGAUCAAAGCAAAGAGCGCCUUUCCAUGUAUCUCAUGAAAGCUGACCUGAUGCCUUUCCUGUAUUGGAAUAUGAUGCUAAGGUAAGUGCACUGCCUGGUUCCUGGAUGAGGAAAGGGAUUUGUAGCACAUCUCCACCCAAAGGGGAUGCAGCCUCUUUUCUUCAUUAUUAGCAGUGACCAAGUGUUCUGUCUUCCAUGCUCUAGGCCCUCUUUUGCUGCUGGAUAAAUAAUAAUAGUAAAUCACUUUCACAUACCAAGUACUCUAUCAUCUGCUACCU